AGGCCAUCAUUAACGCUCAAGCUCUCUACGGCAACAAAUGGGCUACCAUCGCCAGGCUCCUAUCCGGUCGGACGGAUAACGCUAUCAAGAACCACUGGAACUCCACCUUGAAACGGAAGUGCUCGUCCAUGCCUGACGACACCGGCGGCUGUCAUGCCACUUCCCCACCCUUCAAGAAGUCGGUUUCUGCAGGUCUUUAUAUGCCUCCCAAUAGUCCUUCUGGAUCUGAUCUUAGCGAUUCUGGCUUCUUCCCUGCUGUUUCGUCCUCACAUGUCUUCCGGCCAGUGCCCAGGACCGGCGCCGUUUUGCCUCCCGGGGAAACGGUGUCGUCUUCGGACGAUCCAC
rnacentral:lncRNA from 1 species